GACGAACGCUGGCGGCGUGCUUAACACAUGCAAGUCGAGCGGUAAGGCCCUUUCGGGGGUACACGAGCGGCGAACGGGUGAGUAACACGUGGGUGACCUGCCCUCAGCUCUGGGAUAAGCCUGGGAAACCGGGUCUAAUACUGGAUAUGACUCCAUGACGCAUGUUGUGGGGUGGAAAGCCUUGUGCGGCUGAGGAUGGGCCCGCGGCCUAUCAGCUUGUUGGUGGGGUGAUGGCCUACCAAGGCGACGACGGGUAGCCGGCCUGAGAGGGCGACCGGCCUCACUGGGACUGAGACACGGCCCAGACUCCGUACGGGAGGCAGCAGGUGGGGAAUAUUGGACAAGUGGGGCAACCCUGACUCCAGCGACGCCGCGUGUGU
rnacentral:rRNA from 1 species